AUACAUUCUUGCGAAAUUCAAUUCACAAGGAGCUGAGAGAUUAGCACUGACUCUUCGGUUUCUAGCAACAGGUGAUAGCUACCACUCACUUAUGUAUUUAUUUCGUAUACCUGUUUGUACUAUAUCAAGAAUAAUACCUGAAGUCCACAAUUUAUAAUAUUUUAAAAGAAGAAUACCUACAUACACCAACCACUGAAGAAGAGUGGUUAAAGAUUUCACAGCAGUUUGAGGGAUGGGACUUUCCGAACUGCUUAGGUGCUCUUGAUGGUAAACAUAUACAUAUUAAAGCACCUCAACAUAGUGGAAGUCUCUAUUUUAAUUACAAAGGCAUGCAUAGUAUUGUUUUGAUGGCAUUGGGCGACGCAGGUAAUAAAUUUAUAUACAUUAAUGUUGGAAGCGUGGGCCGAAUUUAUGAUGGAGGAGUUUUCAAUACGUGCUCCUUGGCAAGAAAACUAGAUAAUAGAUUGAAUAUUCCACAUCCUAGGCCACUUCUACGGUGUGUUAAGGUUAUUCCAUUUAUUAUCGUAGCAGAUGAUGCUUUUGCUAUGAAACCAUAUGUUAUGAAACCUUACGCGUUACGAAAUAUGCAUGGUGGACAAAGGGUCUUUAUUUAUCGACUGUCUCGUGCACGUCGAAUAAUUGAGAAUUGUUUUGGUUUAGCUUCAGCUAGAUUCCGUGUUUUAAGAAAACCUAUUGAAUUGAACCCAGGAAAAGUGUCCACCAUAGUGUCGGCAAUAUGCGUUUUGCACAAUUUUUUAAUAACCCGUUCUCAAAGACUUUACGACCCUUAUGGCAGUUUUGGUAUUGAAAAUCGCAAAAAUGGCAAUAUUCAUCCGGGUGAAUGGCGGCAGGAAAGUCAAGUCUUACUACCACUACAAGUUAAUCGAAACCUUAGAGGAAAUCUUGAUGCCAAGGAAGUACAAGAAGUAUUAAUAUAAUAUUUUCAAGAGGAAGGGGAAGUCCCAUGGCAAUAUCAAUAUAUAUAAAAUAUUAUAUACGGAGUUCCAGAAAUAAUGUCUAAA